AUGGAUCAAAAUUCAACUUAUGUGCUGAAAAUCAGUUUGCUUGGCAACCCAAAAAAGGCUAGAAAGUAUAUCAAAUGCUUCUGUUUUGAUAAGGUUAUUGAUUCCUACUUAACAAAUUAUAAGGACUUUGUUGAAUCAAUCGUAGAGCAGUACUCGCCUCGUUAUUUGGAAGUUGCACAUGUUCAGUACUAUGAUGAUUUUCUUAAAAUCUACCCUGAAGUAACAUCUGACCAAGAAUUGAUGUUGAUGUUUGAGAAACACUCUAAGACAAAGGUUGUGCACAUGUUUGUUGCAUAUUGUGAUCCAUCGGAACCAUAUGAGCCUAUAACGGAGUGGCAUAGUGAUGCGCAUAGCCAACCUAACAACAUAGAACAAGAUGAUGAUGAUUAUCUUCGCAACCCAGUACCUGAGAAUGAGCAUGUUGGUGUUGAUGAGGAAAAUAUUUAUUUAGAGGAUGAACCUGUACCUCUUAUCAUGGUUCCUUGUUCCAAUAAAGAAAAGGACAAAGACUAUGUGCCUGAUCAUGAGAGCGAGGCUGAGAGCGAGUUUGAGAGCGAGGAUGGGAGUGCGGAUGGGAGCAUGUCAGAGGUUGAAGUAGAGGAAGAUGAGGAAUAUCACGAGGCAGAUCAUGCACCACACAUUGAAUAUAAUAAAUUAGAUCCUCCAAUGAACGAAGGAAGAAAAUAUCCCAAUAUGGCAGAGUUUAAAUUGGCGCUUUCUCAACAUGCAAUCAAACAUGAAUUUGAGUUCGACACCGAAAAGAGUGCACCACAUAGGUUUAGAGCUUAUUGUUCAAGAAGGGAUGAAGAUAAGGGUCCAUGGAGGAUAUAUGAUUCUACAAUGGAAGAUGAGUGCAUAGUAAUGGUAAUUUUCUAA
rnacentral:rRNA from 1 species